AAUCAUUGCAAGCUUAGAAGCAAAGUGCACGAGUGAAUCCAAGGUCCUUAAGACCUGAGCUAAAUCCGGUGCUCUAGCUAAUUCCUCAAUUGAAGCACAAACUUGGGAUGGAUCGAUCAGUAGUUAAUUCUGUCUGUGUUGGUUUGGCUUGAGUACAGUAUCCACCCACACUAUUAGGCUUGUUUGGGCUCCACUGAGGCCUCAGCCAAAGCUUAGCCUCAUUUUCAAAUGAUUUGCUUGUCAUUUCGUCCAUGUAUAUCACAUAAGUUGCAGUAAUAUAGUGGCGUGUGCCUUAGUAAAUCUUUAUGGUCAUGACUCAUCUCUGCCGGCAACCUGUGCCUCCACUAGACUACACAUCUCAUAAAAAAGCUGAAUGAAGAUGGCCCCUGUAGCUCUUUUUGGGCCAUUUUCUCUUGUCACCAAUCGUUCAGCGUUUGGAUAUAUUAGUUUGACAAGCAAGCAGGUUGAAAAUUAAAGGGUUCCAUCGUAAGCACCCACCAAGCAACCAUUAUUAGCACCAAAACUAUUCGACAAAAGUCGAAGGUUGAUGGGAUGAAUGCGGAAUGCCUCACACGGAGCCUAUGGCCAUGGAGCUGCCAAUGCCCAGUAGUGUUACGGUCAUCCUAGCCCCAUCAGCUUUAUUCAUUCUAGGCAUCUAAGCACUGCCUCAAGCCCUUUGUUGCAUGACACGUAGAUGGGGGACUUGAGAGCUUGCAGUUGCAGGGAGCUUGUGCUCCGGAUGAUUCUACCCGAGUGCAUAAAGGGCAGUGUCCUUGUUAAUACAAGGCGCUGUGCUGCUCUCCUACUCGAUGGAUGGAUAUUUCCAGCUUAAGGUCAUCCUUCAAUCAUGUCAUUCCAACGUGGUGCCUCAUCAGCUGCAUUAUGUGAUGGGACUUCAUCUCCAUAUUCAUCUAUCAAUCCUAAUCCAGACCAAUACUGAUAAUUUGCCAUGGUGAUGUAAUCGAAAACAUAAGUACAUAACCUUAAAUUGCCGACUAGCGAGGUGAUUUUUUAUCUUCAAUUUACCCUUUUUUAUCUUCAAUUUACCCUUGAGAAACUCUAGUUUCAAGUUAAGAU